CUACUGCCCUCUCCGCUGACCGCGACCCACAACCAGGCUGUGCAGUGAAGUGCCACCUUGCCAACCCGACUCCCCUCCCCUUCGGCUGCAGGCUCCCGGCGGCGACUCCCCUCCCCUUCGGCUGCACCGCUGCAGGCGCCCGGCGCGCGGAGCUGUGCCGGCCGGCCGGCGGCGUGUGCUUAUCUCCUUCCCCGCGGCUGCAGUCGUGCGGAGCUCGGCUCCAUCAACGACCGAGGCCAGCGGCGCACGCGGCUGCCCAGCGAAAGGGCGCAGCAUCGCCAGCGCUACGCCAGGAGCAGGACAACCAGCGGCUCGCACCACAUCUGUCUCCACCGCGCUCCCUGCCACCACGCUAUGGUGCUCGCGCCGCUUGCCCAGCCCUCAGUAGUAGCCAUGGACGUACUGCGUCCCCUCUUACCCACCUUUGUCUAUUAAGAGCACAUAUGCACAGCAAGUGUUCGAUAUUUUGCCUCUAUAAGAUGAUUGCUCAGUUUGAACCUGAAACAUAUGUGCGGAUGAAUGAUAUUAUGUUCGUCACCAACUAAUGGAUAUGGACCAUUGCCACCAUGGCACUUGAUUGCCAUCUUCGACCAUGACCUAGGAAUAAUUGCAUUCCUAGAUGAAUCUUGGGAAUCAUGUAGGAUAUAAUUAUCAUUAUCUUAAAUGAUAGAUACAGUGUGUAUACUAUUUUGUCAACUCAUAAAUACUUCUAACCUCCAACUCUGGUAUCCAAAACUUUGGAUUGUUUAUUAUCUGGGUUAACCAUUUUACUAUUAGAAGUAUUGAGGGUAUGACACCUGAAAAUUAAUUGAACAAUGAUUAGUUUGAUAUUUUCAUCUCAACUGAACAAAGACUAAUUUGAUGUCCAGAUCGCUUGCAUCAGACAAUGCCGGCGAGCAUCGUCGUCAACUCCACCAAGGCAAGCUACAUCAGUCUCUUCUCUGCAGGCGCUGAUGGCCUGCUGCUUGCAUUUGAGGUCUCUAGGAGACCUACCACCCUUUUACAGAGCUUCAUGCAAUCGUGCUGGACUAUGCUUACAACAACAAAGGAUGGGCAAUUCCAAAGGACGGAGUUUCUUAGUACCUUCAGAGAAGCAAGAUCUUUGGAUGAAGUUCCUCAACAAGAAGAAGGAUGUACCUGAUUACCUUUGUAUAUGCAGUUUAUCAGACAAGAAUAAUGUUGUUACAUUUCAUGCCAUGCAACUUUUAUUCAAUUCUUCGUUUCAUGCCAUGCAACUUUUAUUCAAUUCUUCGAGAUAGAUUUAUGCAUAUCAUUUUUUGUUUGUAUGGCAUAUGAUAGAGAAAUAUAGAAAAGAAGCCAACUAAGAAAA